ensembl:lncRNA
CAUUUCAUACGAAGAAAACCUUCUUUUCAAUAUACAAGAUGGGACGAAGGGACCAAAAAAGAAGUAAAAGGAAGUUGGUGUAGGUGCUUCACAAGGAAUUCCCAUUCCUAUGUCUCUAAAGCCAAUGUUUUGUCAAAGUUUUGCCCAUUUGUUCAUUCUGAGCACACACUUUUUUCAUAUUGUUGGUGUCCCAUGGCUUUUAGGAAAAUUAACAUUUCCAAAGGCUGUAUAUUUUGCUAGUGUGUAUAGAUAGAUACAAAUAUGAUUAAAAAAAACACUAGGCAAACAACCUCAGUUUAUUACUGCUACUACCACCUAAGAGCUUGUAAAAUGCACUGUUUGGAGAAGUAUAAUCAAGGGACUCAGAAAAGGUGAAUAUAUGCUCUAAAGAUAACACUAGCUUUUAUCUUGAAUUUCAUUGCUAUGUUGAAGCGUUAGAAGAGGAAAUCUGAAUGAAAAUCACUGUUGAAGUUGAUGAAAAAUUCAAGUUGGCUGCCACCAGUUUUCAGUUUGGAAACCUGAUGAAAUUUACCAUACCAGUGUUUCAUUACUUAGGUCAGUAUAUACAAGGUUUUUAUGAAAGUGCAAAUGUUAUUAGCUUAUUAGCUUUGUUGUCUUGUACUGUGUCUAUCCUUCUACACCACUUAAAACUGAAUGCAAAAGGUUGCCAUGAGAGAGUUUUUCACACCCAGCUGUGAAACUGGCUGCUCUGAAUGAAAGACAGCUGAUGGUCAGGCUCUAUGGUCUUAGAAAGUUAAGGGCUGAAGGAAACUCUCCCCUCCCUUUCACUCUUCCAUCCCUUUUGUUGUAACAUCUCAGCCUCUGCCAGUUUGGGUUUUGAUGACUCUGUGAUGCCUAUAUGAGCGGUCAGUAUUCUCAGUCAUCCCAAAGAUAUGCACAUAGAUCCUUGUCCAAAUGCUGCACACUACCAAAUAUCUUUAGAGUCACUGGAUGCUGCCAUGAUCUGUGGGCCUGUUGGCCAGUUCCUGUGCAUUGGAAUGGCUGCAGUGUUCUCUUAUGGGCCUAAAUUAUCCUACUUGAGUCAGUGUAGAUAUUUUAAAGAAUGAAGUAUUACAGCUGAAUGGAGCUAAACUGAAAUUGGUAUUAUCCUUUUAAUGCGGAUUUUGCAUCAAAUCAUGGCAAGGAAGAUUUGCAAUGUGAAAAUUCUUUCAUCAUUCAGGCUUCUUUAAAGAAGAAAAUGAUGUUACUACUGAGCGAAAUCAUACAGAGAGGAAAUACUUUUUCCUCUAGGAAAACAUUCACUGUAGGUAAACUUAUGUGUGCAUGUGUCCAUGUUUAAAAGGAGUGUACAAGUAUGCAGGUCUCAUUCAUUACUCAUACACCAAGAUUAUUUUUUUCCCUUUGCCCUUCUGAUUGACUGCUGGAGGCUUAGCAUUUUCCACAACUUUGAGUCAAGUUAAAUCACUCUGCAACACAGAAACAAUGAUUUUCUCCUUAUCGGGUCUCUAAACAGCCGUAUCUAAAAAACCCACCAGCUAGCCAACCUCUGUGCCGAGACUUUCAACAGAAGGUACAGUGGCUGGGGUGUGGAGAGAUGUACACUGGCUUUUGAGCUUUGUGGAAAUCCACACUUAUAUGUAGAGAGCAGUUUUUGCACACAGACUAUGGGUGACAGCAAGCAUUUGAGCUCAUUAGGAACAGAAUCAUGUCAACUGAGUCCCAUUUGAAAUAUCAGAUAUUAGGUUUUUGUUAGCUUUCUGCUUAGACUGACACUCUCUGGAGUCAAAAUAAAUGACCAUUCUGCCAGGAGAGUCUUCAGCACUUGUCUGCUGCAGAAUAUAAGUCUCAGAUGCUUCUCAGGAGCUCUGCUACAAUAGGCGAUCCUUCUGCUGGAGUGUCCUCCUGGCAUUUCCCUUAGCCCAGCUCAUAAUCAAUAGUUUCAAGUACAUCAAAUACAAGUUUAGACAUUGCCCUGAGGAACUUCAGUAAAAUGAAAGAGAAAGAACCAUGUGUUCAUGGUACAUAAAAUCACUUCUGAAGUUAAGGUCUCAGUUUCACGGUGAAAAGUGUUGGGAGUUUCUACGCAGAGUUAAAGGGAGAGAGGGUAAGUGAACUUUGAAUUCCUGACUGUUGCAAGCGCCACAAAAAUGAUGGCCAUAAAUCAGUCAGCAACAGACGAAAACCAACUUGGGGGCUUCUAACGACAACUAAUAUUAUUGUGGCUUUAUUAUUUUUAUAGUUACACUGACUGAACGUGAUGUGCUGUACAAAGUAAAGCUAGUAUUAGGCUUCCAGGUGUGCUGUGGCAUUCAUUUGAGACAUACCAACAGAAGUUUGCAUGUGAAGAAGUCUUACAGUGAUACUAAAGCAAUGUUACCCACCCGAUCGAGUCCCUUAGGAAUUUAAUGUUUUGCUGUUUUACAUCUCCUGGUUUCCAUGCCGAGUACAAUAAAAUGAACAUUGUCUUAAAUUA